UUGGCACCUCUCAAGCAGAUGUCUACCAACGUAUCGUUCAUUUGAAUGACAUGCUUGUAGUUUUAGAGCCAAGGCAAUGCUUGCCAAAUUUUUGUAUAGAAAAUCAUAAAUAAAGCGCUAGUUGAUAAUGGUAUACUGCAAAAAAAAAAAAAUUAUAAAAAUUAGUUUUUCAUACAACAAUAUCAACAAAUCUCCGACAACUUUCAACUUUCACACGAAUAUCAAUGCAACCUACACUUGACAUAGUGUGAAUCAACCAAAAAUGUAAUAGAAAUGCGAACACCGCGCACUUGCAAAACUCAACACGUUUUGGCUGUAAUUGGUAUGAAAAAAACAAAUAAGUGAUGCUAAUAGCUGUAAUCUGCAGCGAAUGCCUCCAAAAUAUUGGGUGUUUUGCGUGUGCUCCAAUGGUUGUAAUCAUGCAAUAAUAGCGGAGCUUCAAGUGCACAAAAGAUUAGACGUCAAGUGUGAAUCACUUUGCAGAGUAACGGCUUGAAGAAAUGCAAACAAAAAUUCAUCUAUAUUUGCAAACGAUCGCGUAUAAUUGAAAUGAAAAGUGAGCUAAAAGCCCGCCGAAGACACGAAAACAGUUUACAGGUGUCAAAAGCCAGCUGUGAAGUAGGCCUCGAUGAGCUGAGUGUGUGCUCGUAUGCUGCGGAAUACGAUGGGAAUUCGGUUAAAAAGUAUUGAUGAUAAUGAUAUUGAAAUCUUGCGAACUCGUACGCAUGCAACGUAUAUUAUAUGUGUAUAUACAUAGACACCGUAUCUCUUUGUGGCUUCAACAGAAAUGCUUGUGAAUGAAUGUCUCGGGAUCAAGCUGCUUUCAUGAAAUUUGUAUGCUGGCAUGAGCGUGAUAUUUAUAUAGAAUGUACAUACUUUAUAUACAUGCAUGUAUAUAUGUAUUAUUUACAUAGCAUGUAUAUAUAUAUUGUAUCAUAUCUUUGCUUAUGACCAUAGAGUUCAAGUGGACGCUGCCAAAAUUGAAGCAAAAAUAACAACAAAUUAUAACAACAUAAAUAAAGCAAACAAAAAAGUCAA